ACCGUAACCCUCCCCUAACAUCAUAGAGUUGCCGGCGAUUGUGAGUCGCAAUAUCGACAUAAGUUACGUCUACAUAGUCGCAUAAAAUCAACAAUGGUCCAGUCUUCGCAUAAUUCAACGGCGUGAAUAAUUAUAUUUCACUAGUUUACACGAGCGGUUUUGUCAAAGAUGGCGCUCAAAUCAACGCAGUACAAAACCAUCGACGCUGAAACGCGCUAACAAAGUUUUUCUGAUAGUUAAGCAUAACAAGGACAAUUUGUGUAAGGCGAAUGUACUCGCUUCGGCAGUACAUAAACUAAAAUUGGAACGAUACAGAGAAGAUUAGCAUGGCCCCUGCGCAAGGAUGACACGCAAAAUCGUGAAGCGUUCCACAUUUUUU